rnacentral:rRNA from 1 species
GACGAACGCUGGCGGCGUGCUUAACACAUGCAAGUCGAACGAAAAGGCCCUGCUUUUGUGGGGCGCACGAGUGGUGAACGGGUGAGUAACACGUGAGUAACCUGCCCUUGACUUUGGGAUAACUUCAGGAAACUGGGGCUAAUACCGGAUAGGAGCUCCUGCCGCAUGGCGGGGGUUGGAAAGUUUCGGCGGUUGGGGAUGGACUCGCGGCUUACCAGCUUGUUGGUGGGGUAGUGGCUUACCAAGGCUUUGACGGGUAGCCGGCCUGAGAGGGUGACCGGCCACAUUGGGACUGAGAUACGGCCCAGACUCCUACGGGAGGCAGCAGUGGGGAAUAUUGCACAAUGGGCGGAAGCCUGAUGCAGCGACGCCGCGUGCGGGAUGACGGCCUUCGGGUUGUAAACCGCUUUCGCCUGUGACGAAGCGAGAGUGACGGUAACUGGUAAAGAAGCACCGGCUAACUACGUG